UUACCAGGUCAAGACAUGGGCGUGAUUUGACAGGCUAAUGACUUUUCUCGAUUCCAUGGAUGGUGGUGCAUGGUCGCACUUAGUUGGUGCAGUGAUUUGUCAGGUUUAUUCCGGUAACGAACGAGACCUCGGCCUUGUAAAUAGCUAUGCUGCUUACAGGGACAUUGGCGGCUACGCCAAGGAAGCUCGAGGCAAUUGCAGAUCUGGAAUGCCCUUAGAUGUCCUGGGUCGCACGCGUGCUACAAUGACGCCACGAACGAGCUUGCGUGAUGAAAGUUACGCAUAAUCAGCAGUCGGCGUCUUAAGGGAUAGUCUCUUGUAACUGUGGGACUCCAACUAGGAAUGUCUCGUAAGCACAAGUCAACAUCUUGUGUUGAUUACGUCCCUGCUCUUUGUACACACCGCCCGUCGCUCCUACCGAUCGAGUGUUUAGGUGAAUUUGAUGGACGUAAGGAAGUCAAAUAAACCUGAGCACUAGAGAAGAGAGCGAGAAUUUCUGC
rnacentral:rRNA from 1 species